rnacentral:rRNA from 1 species
UACGGAGGGGGCUAGCGUUGUUCGGAAUUACUGGGCGUAAAGCGCACGUAGGCGGCUUUGCAAGUUAGAGGUGAAAGCCCGGGGCUCAACUCCGGAAUUGCCUUUAAAACUGCAUCGCUAGAAUUGUGGAGAGGUAAGUUGAAUUCCGAGUGUAGAGGUGAAAUUCGUAGAUAUUCGGAAGAACACCAGUGGCGAAGGCGACUUACUGGACACAUAUUGACGCUGAGGUGCGAAAGCGUGGGGAGCAAACAGG